rnacentral:rRNA from 1 species
AUUGAACGCUGGCGGCAGGCUUAACACAUGCAAGUCGAGCGGAGAUGAGGUGCUUGCACCUUAUCUUAGCGGCGGACGGGUGAGUAAUGCUUAGGAAUCUGCCUAUUAGUGGGGGACAACAUUCCGAAAGGAAUGCUAAUACCGCAUACGUCCUACGGGAGAAAGCAGGGGAUCUUCGGACCUUGCGCUAAUAGAUGAGCCUAAGUCGGAUUAGCUAGUUGGUGGGGUAAAGGCCUACCAAGGCGACGAUCUGUAGCGGGUCUGAGAGGAUGAUCCGCCACACUGGGACUGAGACACGGCCCAGACUCCCACGGGAGGCAGCAGUGGGGAAUAUUGGACAAUGGGGGGAACCCUGAUCCAGCCAUGCCGCGUGUGUGAAGAAGGCCUUAUGGUUGUAAAGCACUUUAAGCGAGGAGGAGGCUACUGAGACUAAUACUCUUGGAUAGUGGACGUUAUUCGCAGAAUAAGCACCGGCUAACUCUGUGCCAGCCGCCGCCGUAA